rnacentral:rRNA from 1 species
GACGAACGCUGGCGGCGUGCUUAACACAUGCAAGUCGAACGGAAAGGCCCUGCUUUUGUGGGGUGCUCGAGUGGCGAACGGGUGAGUAACACGUGAGUAACCUGCCCUUGACUUUGGGAUAACUUCAGGAAACUGGGGCUAAUACCGGAUAGGAGCUCCUGCUGCAUGGUGGGGGUUGGAAAGUUUCGGCGGUUGGGGAUGGACUCGCGGCUUAUCAGCUUGUUGGUGGGGUAGUGGCUUACCAAGGCUUUGACGGGUAGCCGGCCUGAGAGGGUGACCGGCCACAUUGGGACUGAGAUACGGCCCAGACUCCUACGGGAGGCAGAAGUGGGGAAUAUUGCACAAUGGGCGGAAGCCUGAUGCAGCAACGCCGCGUGCGGGAUGACGGCCUUCGGGUUGAAAACCGCUUUCGCCUGUGACGAAGCGUGAGUGACGGUAAUGGGUAAAGAAGCACCGGCUAACUACGUG